GCCUCCUUAGCUCAGCGGUGGAGCACUCGGCUGUUAACCGAUAGGUCGUAGGUUCGAAUCCUACAGGGGGCGCCA
rnacentral:tRNA from 1 species